rnacentral:lncRNA from 1 species
CUUGCCAGAAGAUUCUGCCGUAUUCUCAGAGCAAAGCCCCGUGGUCUGUGCUGGAAUAUGGUGGCUGUCAUGUCAGGGGCCACCUGCUGUGACGUCAGGCUCUGCGUCACAGAGGGGGCAGCAGCUACCGCCCAGGCUUUGGGAGACCACAGACCUCGGUUUGAAUACUGGGUCCCCCACCCACUGACUCUCUUCUCCGGCCUCGGGUCCUCAGCUGUCAGUGGGAGCACGGUCACAGUGCCUCCUCGAGGAUUACUGGCAGCAUGUGGGGGAUCUGGGCGGGCAGGUCCCUGGGCCAGCCUGGCACAUGGCAGGAACCCAGCAGAGAGAGGGCAGCCAUUUCCACCAGGAUUGGCUAUUCUCCCAGGGGCCAUCACUUGUCCCCUCGUCUUAAGCUGUGGUGGCCGCCCCUCCUCUGUCCAUGGUCCUGCUUACCCCCCGGAGCCCGGGCUGCCUGCUCUCUCUCGGCUCAGCCCCAGAACACACCUUCUCUCCAUCUCCCUCGCUUGGGUGCCAACGGCCUUGCAGGUGGUUUCCCAGGGGGCAGGAGACACCCCGUCCUUCGAAAUUCAAAGGAGCCGCCUCCUGCUCGAUUCCUGGGCUGCUGGGAACAAGGGUCGGGGCAGCCCCACCCCCGCCUCUGCUCCAGUUUCCUCGGGAACAGACUCUGAGGAGCAGCGAGGAUGUUUAAUUAAUUGCAAUUACAAUCUUCAAAGGAAGUCGAGAGUUGAAAGUUGUUCCUAA